rnacentral:lncRNA from 1 species
AAUAAAUCAAAGGACCAACCAAAAAUAGUUUAAGGGACUUAAUCACAUCAUUUGUGGGAUUUCUAAGAGUUUACGGCCAAGGCUUGUUCUUGGGCCGUAAACUCCAAGAUUUUUGGUGUUAGAAUGCAAACUAAACACCCCUAAAGCCUUUAGAUGAAUUUUAGAAGCCCUUCUAUGCAAGUUUUAGACCUUGAAACACUUUGUAUCACCCUAUAUAAGAGUUUACGGCCAUGAGGAGGGUCUCAUGGGCCGUAAACUCCAUAACACCCCUCAAAUGUCCCAUAAAACUCAUGCUAGGUCUUGGAAUAAUCCUAUUAAUCACAUGUGAUUUGUUUUAACAACAUUUAACACCAUUUUCAUGAAGAUUAAGGAGUUUACGGCCAGGAGCCUAUACUAGGCCGUAAACUCCCAUAAAAUAAUCAUUUUGAUGAUUUAAAUUCAUUCCAAGUGUUCCAAUGCAUUUUAGAUAAUCCAUUCUAGCAAUCCCCAUGUCCAUUUAAGCCCUUAGAUCAUCAAAACCACACCAACAUGAGUUUACGGCCGUAAACUCAUGUGUGGGUGUGUUUUAUGGUUGUAAACUCAUUUAAAUGUUUACUUAUGGAGAGUAAACUCAAGUCCCAAGUCCCUAGUGCCAUUACAAGUCCGAAGAUGUCACCCGGGUCACUCCAAACGCUCGUUUUGAGGUGUUUAACCUCAUUGGAGUGUAAUGUUCCAUAUGAUUAGUGAAUGUAUCUCUAAAUGUAUAUAUAUGGACAUUAUUUCAUUUUACAUAGGGACAUCGCGAGUAAUCAAACCCCGAACCAACGUCUAGUAUCCAAAACCGACACGUUUCCGAGUCCGGUGAGUUCAUACCCCUACCUUUUUCACUGUUUUUCACUGUUUUCAGGGGGGAACACAAGCAAAGUACAAGGGUUUUCUUGUACUCAAAACUUAUUUUUCGUGUGUGUGUGUCACAUUUCUUAUGCUUUUAAUACUGAUAUACGUAACUGAUAACCAGUAGAUCAUACAAUUCACUUAAACAUUUAUUUGUGAAAUGGAUUUUAUAAACGGUUAUGUUUUAUAUAUAUUUCACAAAUGGUUUCCACAUUUUAUCAGUUAAAAGCAUGACAUUAUAACACAUGAACAAUAUAAUUCGUACACUGUCUUGUCCUCGGUAACAUUCCACAGAGAUACGCGAAUGGAGGAUUAUCCUAUUAUUACUAGUAAAUUUGUUAUUCCGUAUGAUUGGAGACACGUCCUCGGCGAACACUCCACAGAGAUACGCGAGUGGAGGACUACACCCGUAACCAGAAUCUCUGGGAUUUAGAGAGCGUGACUUGAGUGUAUAGAUCUAUACGGGGCUGACUACCCCACACCUGGCUGCUAGCUACAGCCGAACCAAAAUGGUUCAAGGGUGACGAAAGUCAUAAGGAUUGUGGACCACUUAUUGCCACAAGGCUGUGGACUACUUAUUGCCACAGGUUCAGUCUUUAGUAUGGUUAUGGAACUCGCAACUAGGAUAACAGAGAUUUACUAAUAGUAAUAAUGAAUCACAUACUACAUUUUACAGAUAACCAGGAUUCAGUUUACAUCUUUUACAUCUUUUACAUCUUUUACAUAUGAUAACCAACCUUCAGGAAGGUAUGGGACCUUCCUGGGAAAUCUUGUACACAACCAGGUCUAACAGAAUACAUCUUUUACAUUGAAAACAAACAUACAGGAAAGCAUGGGGCAUUCCUGGGUAACCUACACAUAAUCAGACAAGAGUAACCAACUGAAUAACAUUACAUCUUUUACAAUAACUACACUUCAGGAAAGUAUGGGACUUUCCUGGGAAUACACUGAUACAUUAAAGACAUAAAACAAUGUACCGGAUAACUAAACCAUACAUUACUCUUAUGAAACAACAACCAACUUUUAAGAAAAUAUGGGAUUUUCUUGGUGUGUGUUACAUUUUCAGAAACAGAAAGGAAACAUAAACAUUUUCACAAAACAAAACUGCUUAUGAACUCACCAGCGUUAUGCUGAUUUUCAAAUUGCUUGUGUUCUCAGGUCAACGAUAGUACAGGUACCCGAAGACUUACUUGGUUAAGGAUCGUGUGCGUGCAAGGCUCGUUCAUUUUGUUUAUAUCUAUAUUAUGUAUCACAACUGUAUAAACUGUGUCUUUUGAAACAAAUUGUAAAACUUUUAAUAUGUAAUGUAAUGUUUGUUUCACUUUACUUACUAUGUACAUUGGAUUUGAUACUCAACGUGGAGUCAACCCCGGAAAUGUUUCCGCCUUCGGUUUUCGGGGUGUGACAGAUUGGUAUCAGAGCCCUUGUUUAUAGUGAAUAAAGUAUACCAAACCUUACAUGGUAUAAAACUAUAAACACUAAAGGGCCUAAGUGCUCUGAAAUAAAAGUAUCUCCAGACUACAAGUAUUUUCAAAAAUAUACAAGUAUACCGAACCGUCGAGAUUCGUAUCUAUAAGUAGAACAAAACAUAAGUAAAUGGGUGUUGUGUAUUGCAGUUAAACCUGGGCAGUUAUGUAGUCGUGUCUAGGGUCAAUAUAGCCUGGCCAACUAUAUUCAUUCGAGACACGGCCAACAUGUGCUUGGGAGUGAUUGUGGUAUGCGGCAUGCCUAAAACUUACCCUAAUACCACAAACAUCGAGCCAGUAUCGUAACAAACCAUGAAAUACUAUGGGAGUAUUUCUCGAAUAAUCGUACAUGUAUAGACCCCCGAUCAUUCCAUUAGCGAUAGUAUACUUGCUUCAAUAACUCUUUCCUGCUUUACCGCUUAAUUGGAAUUAAUACCUGUCAUAUCUCUCGAUUCAGAGGACUUAUCAUCCUCUCUCUUUAUUGAUCUUAUUAGAUCAAGAUGCCUCCCAGGAAGAGACCCAGCUCCAACAACCCUCCGCCACCUCCUCCUGAAAUCGAUCCCGUGUUAUUUCAAACAGCUGUUACCGCCGCGGUGGCAGCUGCCAUGUCCCAGCUAAAUACCGGUGGUUCAGGAGGUAGUAAUCAAAAUCAAGAUGGUAAUCAGGAACGCCGUAAGGAGGGUUCCUAUAAGGACUUCAUGAAUGCGAAGCCUUCUUUCUUCAAUGGCACUGGUGGUGUCAUUUCCUUAUCCCGAUGGUUCGAGAGAAUCGAAUCCAUCUUCGAAAUCUGUGCCUGUGAUGAGUCCGAUAAGGUCAAGUUCGCAGCUUGUACCUUCCUUGAUAAAGCAUUGACUUGGUGGAAUGGCCGAGUCAAAUCCUUAACUCUCCCUGUAGCCAAUGCCAUGGGCUGGGAGACUAUGAAAGAACUCCUCCUUGCUGAAUAUUGUCCCCGAGGCGAAAUGCAGAAGCUAGAGCACGAGCUCUGGAACCUGAAGAUGAAAGGUUCCGAUAUUGCUGCCUACACUUCCCGAUUUGAUGAUCUUGCCCUUCUUUGCCCUGGUCUAGUCACCCCUGAAAGCAAAAAGAUCGAGAGGUUUAUUUGGGGGUUAACUAAUCCGACAAAAGGUCAUGUCUUAGCUGCUCGCCCAGAUACUUAUGAUAGUGCUAAGACUCUAGCCCAAGCUAUAAUUCACCACAGUGAUGAUGUUGAGGAAGCCACCACUGCUACCCCUGAAUCGACCAAAAGCAGUGGUGAGAAAAGGAAAUUUUGGAAGAAGAAGAAGGGUCAAUCUUCCCAAGGCUCCUCCAAAAGACAACAAACAGUAGCAGUUCAUGUUGCUACUACCCCCAUAGCUGCUGCUUCUGUUGUAGGAUCCACAACACCAACUCCUACCAACCGAUAUGUUGGUAACCUCCCUCUGUGUGAAAAAUGCAAAUAUCACCACAACCCUGGUCCCUGUCGAGAAUUAUCCUGUACAUAUUGUGGUAAGAAGGGGCACACUGUUCGAUACUGCAAAGCUCCGACUCAAUCAGCAAAUCAAUCCUCUGGAACAGGCGUUGGUCAAGCCUGUUAUAACUGUGGUGAAGCCGGGCACUUUAAAAGGAACUGCCCCAAGAAGACUACUGCUGGCAACACCGGAAGGGUCCUUGCUAUGGGACGGGAAGAAGCAGUCGCCGAUCCCAAUGUUGUCUCGGGUACGUUUCUUCUCGACAACUCGUAUGCUAAUAUUCUUUUCGAUUCGGGCGCUGAAAGAAGUUUUAUUAGUCAUGCAUUCAAACAUAACCUAAAACAUGAUUCCCAACCUCUAACUGAAAUGUUUACCGUCGAAAUGGCAAACGGAGAGAAAGAAAGUGCGAGUGAGGUAUUCGUAGAUUGCACUCUUACCUUAAACGACCAUUCAUUUCCUAUCGAUCUUAUGCCCGUAUCCAUAAAGAGCUUUGAUGUCAUUAUUGGCAUGGAUUGGUUGAGUCCCAAUCAUGCAGAUAUCCUUUGCUUCGAAAAAGCCAUCCGUCUUAACCUUCCUUCGGGUCAAACUCUAGUGAUCUAUGGCGAUAAACUCGGUUCCAACCUUCGUAUCAUUUCCUGCAUCAAAGCUCAGAAACUCCUGCGAAAGGAGUGUAUUGCAUUCUUAGCCCAUGUAAUCAAUGAGAAACAAGAAGUUAAAGACCUCGCGAGCAUCCCCGAGGUCUGUAAUUUUCCUGAUGUGUUUCCCGAAGAGCUUCCAGGAAUUCCUCCCGAACGUCAGGUCGAGUUCCGUAUUGACCUAAUUCCUGGGGCUACUCCUGUAGCGAAGUCUCCGUAUCGCUUAGCUCCAGCAGAGAUGCAGGAGCUAUCCAGUCAACUUAACGAGUUGCUUAGCAAAGGAUUCAUUAGACCGAGUUCCUCACCCUGGGGAGCCCCGGUUUUGUUUGUCAAGAAGAAGGAUGGAUCCUUUCGUAUGUGUAUUGAUUAUCGUGAGCUAAACAAGUUGACUGUCAAAAACCGAUAUCCUCUUCCUCGAAUAGAUGACCUUUUCGAUCAACUCCAGGGAGCCAGUUACUUCUCUAAGAUAGACCUUCGGUCAGGGUACCAUCAGUUGCGAGUUCAUGAAAGUGAUGUGCCCAAAACAGCUUUCAGGACUCGAUAUGGACACUACGAGUUCGUAGUGAUGCCCUUCGGUUUAACCAACGCACCGGCAGUGUUCAUGGAUCUGAUGAACCGGGUGUGUCGUCCUUAUUUGGAUAAGUUUGUCAUAGUAUUCAUCGAUGACAUACUCGUCUAUUCCCGAAGUGAAGAAGNUAGUGUUGGAGACCCUGCAAUCCGAGAAGAUAUACGCAAAGUUUUCAAAAUGUGAGUUCUGGAUACGGAAGGUAACUUUCCUUGGACAUGUGAUAAGUGAGGAAGGGAUUCAUGUUGAUCCUUCCAAGAUUAAGGCAAUAGAGAAUUGGUCAGCACCGAAGACACCCACAGAAAUCCGACAAUUCUUGGGUCUCGCUGGCUAUUAUCGAAGGUUCAUCCAAAACUUUUCCCGAAUCGCCAAACCUCUAACCACUCUAACUCAGAAAGGUGCACCCUUUUGUUGGGGUGAUAAACAAGAGACCGCAUUUCAAACAUUGAAGGAAGCUUUGUGCAGCGCGCCUGUCCUAUCCCUACCCGAAGGGACAGAGGACUUUAUUGUCUACUGCGAUGCGUCUACUCAAGGAGCAAGCUUGGGCCGUAAACUCCAUUAAAUGUGGUUUUUAAGCUCUUAAACUCCUUCCUAAACUAAAUUGGACUUUAGAUAUGGCUAUGGGACUUCAAGAUAUGGACUUAGAACAACUGAAAAUUUGAUUUUGAGCCAUUUGAAGGAGUUUACGGCCAAGGCAUAAGCUUGGGCCGUAAACUCAUGUAAAAGGGGUUUUUCAUGCCCUUAAACCCUUCCAAAUCACUUCUAUGGCUUAGAUAUGAAUUAUAGGACUUUGGUUCUAGCAUUUGGACACUUGAAACAUGAAUUUUGGGGGAUUUAGAUGAGUUUACGGCCAAGGUGAGUGCUUGGGCCGUAAACUCCCUAAAACUUGAUAUAAAUCCAAUUCUAAGGUGUUAGAAAGCCAUCCAACACCACCAAAAGCCUUGGAAUAAAUCAAGGGACCAACCAAAAAAUACUUCAAGGGCCUUAAACACAUCAUUCAUGGGAUUUCUAAGAGUUUACGGCCAAGGCUUGUUCUUGGGCCAUAAACUCCAAAAAUUUUGGUGUUAGAAUGCAAACUAAACACCUCUAAAGCCUUUAGAUGAAUUUUAGAAGCCCUUCUAUGCAAGUUUUAGACCUUGAAUCACUUUGUAUCAACCUAUAUAAGAGUUUACGGCCAUGAGGAGGGUCUCAUGGGCCGUAAACUCCAUAACACCCCUCAUAUGUCCCAUAAAACUCAUACUAGGUCUUGGAAUAAUCCUAUUAAUCACAUGUGAUUUGUUUUAACAACAUUUAACACCAUUUUCAUGAAGAUUAAGGAGUUUACGGCCAGGAGCCUAUAUUAGGCCGUAAACUCCCAUAAAAUAAUCAUUUUGAUGAUUUAAAUUCAUUCCAAGUGUUCCAAUGCAUUUUAGAAAAUCCAUUAUAGCAAUCCCCAUGUUCAUUUAAGCCCUUAGAUCACCAAAACCACACCAACAUGAGUUUACGGCCAUAAACUCAUGUGUGGGUGUGUUUUAUGGUUGUAAACUCAUUUAAAUGUUUACUUAUGGAGAGUAAACUCAAGUCCCAAGUCCCUAGUGCCAUUACAAGUCCGAAGAUGUCACCCGGGUCACUCCAAACGCUCGUUUUGAGGUGUUUAACCUCAUUGGAGUGUAAUGUUCCAUAUGAUUAGUGAAUGUAUCUCUAAUUGUAUAUAUAUGGACAUUAUUUCAUUUUACAUAGGGACAUCGCGAGUAAUCAAACCCCGAACCAACGUCUAGUAUCCAAAACCGACACGUUUCCGAGUCCGGUGAGUUCAUACCCCUACCUUUUUCACUGUUUUUCAUUGUUUUCAGGGGGGGACACAAGCAAAGUACAAGGGUUUUCUUGUACUCAAAACUUAUUUUUCGUGUGUGUGUUUCACAUUUCAUAUGCUUUAAUACUGAUAUACGUAACUGAUAACCAGUAGAUCAUGCAGUUCACUUAAACCUUUAUUUGUGAAAUGGAUUUUAUAAACGGUUAUGUUUUAUAUAUAUUUCAC